rnacentral:rRNA from 1 species
AUUGAACGCUGGCGGCAGGCCUAACACAUGCAAGUCGAGCGGAUGAAGGGAGCUUGCUCCUGGAUUCAGCGGCGGACGGGUGAGUAAUGCCUAGGAAUCUGCCUGGUAGUGGGGGAUAACGUCCGGAAACGGGCGCUAAUACCGCAUACGUUCUGAGGGAGAAAGUGGGGGAUCUUCGGACCUCACGCUAUCAGAUGAGCCUAGGUCGGAUUAGCUAGUUGGUGGGGUAAAGGCCUACCAAGGCGACGAUCCGUAACUGUUCUGAGAGGAUGAUCAGUCACACUGGAACUGAGACACGGUCCAGACUCCUACUGGUGGCAGCAGUGGGGAAUAUUGGACAAUGGGCGAAAGCCUGAUCCAGCCAUGCCGCGUGUGUGAAGAAGGUCUUCGGAUUGUAAAGCACUUCAAGUUGGGAGGAAGGGCAGUAAGUUAAUACCUUGCUGUUUUGACGUUACCAACAGAAUAAGCACCGGCUAACUUCGUG